ensembl:lncRNA
UCCAAAGACUCCAAUGCACACGCUUUUAUCGAAGUCCGAUAGCUGAGAUGACCCAAUGCUGUACAUCUAUUGCACAACAUGAAGCACAGAUGGUGACACUUUGUUUCCUAGCAAAGCCAAGCACAUUUCUCUGCUUUCAGAAACUGACCCCAUCCCAGAAUAGACCGACUGAACCACAGAAGAUGCACAUUGCUCUAUCGGGCACAAGUAUGAGCGUAGCACACCAUCUUCAGAGUUUAUCAAGUCGACAAAAAGUGGUUGGGAUGUUUCCUUGAACGUCCCGAAUUUCAAUUCUUUAGGAAGUGCACAACUGAUCCAAACUUCUGAAGUGGUAUGAAGGGUUGAAGAACUAGCUGCAACAGCUGUUAGUUAGUAAGCUGUUGCUAAUCCUACUUAUAAGUUAGGUCGUUACAUUUUGGAGAUGUGUUCAUUACUACAUCAAGUUGCACCACAAAAAGUAGUUGCAUACAAGGACAUUUGUUGUCACUAAAUAUUUCCACCUAAUGGCCUAGUAGCUGCAAAAUAAUGUAAGAUAUGUCAGCUAGCUGAAAAGGCUAAUGUUAGCUUCAUAGCUGACAUAUUUGACCAUAUUUCAAAAUAAUGUUUAUUAAGCUAUUUAUAAGAUGAGGAAAAUUAUCUCUUACACUUUCAAAUAAUUUCCAAGUUACAAAAUGUUAUGCCAAUAGCAUUAAAUGUCAAACAUAUUGUAAAUUAGAUCAGCAUAAUCACCGAUUGGUGCUUGUUUUAAUGUAGCAACUACUUAGCCUUCUGAAACUGUUGUUUUGGGCAUUUUUGAUAAAGUUAUGUGAUAUUCUUCAGAUCGUAUCACAACCAUUUCAACCCAAAUGACUAAAGCCUUUUCAAGCUUAGAUGAUUUUUUUUUAAAUGUUAAAUGGUGCAACUUAGUUCGGCAAAUCACCAGUUUGAAACUAGCCAUUAGCGACUUAGCUAGAUAUAUGAAUAGUUGGAACAACCCAUGUGCAGGAGACAAAAAGUCUGAAUCAAAAAAAUAGUGUUUUAGGCAAUAAGGUCCUGAAAUGAAAGCCAGAAGAGAUUUAAGGAAUUUUUGACCAGCACCCAUGGACUAUCCCUGUCAUUUAAGCGAUCUCGUAAAGAAUCUGUCACCUGUGAAUUGCAUUACAAUUUAAAUAGAAUUGGAGAUAAUAAUUAAACUUUAGGAUCUAGAGCAAUUACUCCACCCAUUCCCCUCCACAAAACAAAGUGUAUGCAACAAAGGUCUCCAGCCAAUAUGUUUAUAGGUAUGUAACAACUGGAGGUCGGGACUGAACUUUUCUUGCAAGACAGACAUAAAAAUGCCAGUGCUUCUUGUUUUUAUGCAUUUGUUAUUAGCUUUUUAAAAUCUUUAAAAAGAAAAAAAAAAGAUUUUAAUCAAAGGUGCCAACUUGCUGUUAACUUUCUGUUCAGAGUCAGAUACAAUGUUUGAUUAAAGCUUUAAUGUAAAAGGUGCUCCUCCUCUCUGUCCCAGCCUGCGUUGUUGUAACUGUCUUUUUGAGCAGCAGACGACUGCAGGGUGAACAAGCCUUCUAUCUACUGGACAGUUUUGCUUGCUUAUGUUGUGUGAAGGUCCACCCUCAGGAUCCAGGACCUAUAAGUGCCACAGCCACCGAUGCAUUCUCCCGUUGAUGCUUCUUUCUUCUCAAUAAAUGUGUUUACUGUCUUAAAAAGUCAGCUUGGGGAUUUAACUUGGAGUGGGCCAGAUGUGAUGUGGGAUGCAUUUGUGGAAUAAACCUUUGCUAUGCUUAUGUUCAUAACAGGUUAGAUAAGAAGGUCAGGAGAAAUAGAUAUUAAAAAACACACACAGCAUUAAUGCAU